AGGCAAGAAGCGAAUAAUCGCUGUUGAUUUCGGCUCAUCCCUUGGCCUGAAAGGGGCCCUUGCUUU
rnacentral:tRNA from 1 species